GUGGGGAAUCUUCCGCAAUGGACGAAAGUCUGACGGAGCAACGACGCGUGAGUGAAGAAGGUUUUCGGAUCGUAAAGCUCUUUCGUUAGGGACGAACGUGCUCUUUGUGAAUAAUGAGGAGUAAUGACGGUACCUAAAUAAGAAGCCACGGCUAACUACGUGCCAGCAGCCGCGGUAAUACGUAGGUGGCAAGCGUUGUCCGGAAUUAUUGGGCGUAAAGCGCGCGCAGGCGGGAUAUCACGUCUGUCUUAAAAGUGCGAGGCUCAACCUCGUGAGGGGACAGAAACUGGUAUUCUUGAGUGUCGGAGAGGAAAGUGGAAUUCCAAGUGUAGCGGUGAAAUGCGUAGAGAUUUGGAAGAACACCAGUGGCGAAGGCGACUUUCUGGACGAUGUCUGACGCUGAGGCGCGAAAGCUAGGGGAGCGAACGGGAUUAGAAACCCCGGUAGUCC
rnacentral:rRNA from 1 species